CAAUAGCGUAUAUUAAAGUUGUUGCAGUUAAAAAGCUCGUAGUUGGAUUUCGGGGCAGCCUGGCUGGUCCGCCGCAAGGCGAGUACUGGUCAGCCGCCCUUCCUCUCGAAAGCCCCGACUGCUCUUUAUUGCAGUGGUCGGGUAGUUCGGGACGUUUACUUUGAAAAAAUUAGAGUGUUCAAGGCAGGCCUACGCCUGAAUACAUUAGCAUGGAAUAAUGGAAGAGGACCUCGGUCCUAUUUUGUUGGUUUCCAGGACCGAAGUAAUGAUUAAGAGGGACAGUUGGGGGCAUUCGUAUUUAAUUGUCAGAGGUGAGAUUCUCGGAUUUAUGAAAGACGAACAACUGCGAAAGCAUUUGCCAAGGAUGUUUUCAUUAA
rnacentral:rRNA from 1 species